rnacentral:misc_RNA from 1 species
UCUCCGUUGGUGAACCAGCGGAGGGAUCAUUACAGGACUCGCAAGACUCCUACAACCCUGUGAACUUAACUAUAAGCACGUUGCUUCGGCGGGUGUCUCGGAGGGGGUUCUCCCUCCCCGAGACGCUAAACCCGCCGGCAGCCUACUAUACUCUGUCGCUUUGCGUUGGCAUCUCGAGUACAAUCAAACAAGUUAAAACUUUCAACAACGGAUCUCUUGGUUCUG